UUAGUUUUGGGUUCAGUCUUCAAGAUACUCUCCCCUGGCGACACAUGCUGAUGAGGAUUGUCACGGCGGACGAUGCACUGCACAUUUGUUUCUGCUAGGACUCCGGCCGCAGCUGAAACCGCUACCACGACACAGCAAGAAGCAAGGGGCAAGCCUGGUAGCAGCCAGCCUUAAUUAGCAAUGUCGUCUACAAGAAAGAUCUCAGUCAAAAAUGCUGCCAUCUUCAAGAGUGGAGACAUUAUCAUCUCUGGAGGAUGCUACUGAUUGUCACUGUGCGAUUUCCACUGCAACAGAAUAUGCAAAAGCCCCACACGUGCAUAACAACAUCCAGGAAGCUUUAUACUGACCAUCCUCCUCAACAGCUGGAGCUCCAAAAGAAUUCAGACAUUUUCCUAAAGGAGGUGGAGAAAGUGGAACACCUUUCCAAAGAUAGCGAAGGAUUCAAGACAACUCUGGUCAUAAUCAAUCAGUGUAAUGGCUAGCCUGAGAUGGAGAAUACGGCCUUUAAUAGAGACGAAAGGUAGAAGACGGUGAAGAAAACUGACUUCUGGAGUAAUGGGAAAAAACUGCUAUAUACCAUUUCACCACAAGACCACACCAAAGCAAGUGCAAAGACUACCUGAAAAUGUAUUCUGAGGAACACACAGAGAAAUGUCCUUUGAAUUACAGGGAUCUGCUCACUCCAUAUAAAAUGUUAGUGUGGCUCCAACUUCAUAACUGCUCAUCUUUUUUCAUGUGUAUGCAUGCAUAUGUGUGAUGGCGGAGAGGAGGAAGGUGCUAACAAGAAGUUAUUAAAUUACAAGUGAUUAAUGUAUCUGAUUUAAUGUCUUAAUUAGACUGGUAGAUAGGUUGAGGGAAAGAUCUUUUCCCUAAACAAGACUGCAUGUUUAUGAUAGGGUUGCAUACAUUUUGCCUCAUAGCUGAAUUCAUAGAUUCAGUUUUAGAACAUGUCCGUUGUAUAGGAGCUUCUUCAAACAUUGCAACUAAGUCAAAAACAGUUUGAGUUAGUGUUAUUCUCUAUAGAAACAAAAUAUUUUCUCUGUGAUUAUAACAACUCAGUAAAUGGUUUUGUUUUAAACUCAAGUAGGUUUUUAACAGAGAAUGCUAUUGUAUUGCGAUAGUGUUUAAUCAAAAUACCAUUAAAAAAACCCCUACUUUUUAGCCAAAAAGUUUUGUGUUGUUUAUACGUAUGAUAAAAGCAUAA